AUCAAUAAUUCUCCUCUACAUUUUUUUUCCUUUCUUUUUCUUCUCUUUUUCUUUCCAUUAAUUUUGUUCCCCACUCCAUCAACUCCACUACCCUAUGCUCCCCACCAUCUCCACUACCUUUGCUCCCCAUCAACUCCAACACUUCACCCAUUCCUUCCAUUUCGCACCAGCAAUCACAAAGAGAAGGAAGACUUGGCUUAACUACUUUGCCAAGAUUUCAAGCUGCUCCAGUCCAGUAGUACCCCAACACUCGAAGCUAGAGUUUAUUGGGUGAAAAACCGUGCAUGAGGUCGAGCGCAAGAAUAAGAGCUCGUCAAGGAGUCACUAAUCUGUAGCAAAGCUUUGCUAUCAGGUUGAGCAGCUGCCGAUGGUGAUGAAGUGACGAGCGGGACUCUUUUGUCUUAUUAUGUAUUAAUGAACUCUAGGGUUACAUGUCUUCAUACAUGUAAUCAGAACCUUAUUCCGCUGCGUACUCAGAAGUUUUAUGUUAUUUUGGAUAAGUCGGAGUUAUCCGAACUUGUUAGUUAUUUGAGUCUAUACGACAAAAACUCUGUUAUAUUAUAGAUAUCUAUGUUGUUAACAAUGAUGAAAUACGAUCCUUUCUUGUUUGAUUA